GAAUCAGUCCAAACACAAUCAUGAUAGAUCAGAAACUCGAUUAAUAAAAAUAUAUAUAUAUAUAUAUAUAUAUAUAUAUAUUUUUAUUAAUCGAGUUUCUGAUCUAUCAUGAUUGUGUUUGGACUGAUUC